CCAAGGAGUCUAACAUGUGCGCGAGUCAUUGGGACUUGUUUAUGCCCAUAGGCGAAAUGAAAGUGAAGGCCGGCUGCACGUCGGCCGCGUUGGGAUCCCUCGGACGAGUGCCGGGGGCGCACCAACGGCCCGUCCCGAUCGCAACGUCGACGGGGCGGAGCGAGAGCGCAUACGUUGGGACCCGAAAGAUGGUGAACUAUGCCUGGGCAGGACGAAGCCAGAGGAAACUCUGGUGGAGGUCCGCAGCGAUUCUGACGUGCAAAUCGAUCGUCAGACCUAGGUAUAGGGGCGAAAGACUAAUCGAACCAUCUA
rnacentral:rRNA from 1 species